rnacentral:rRNA from 3 species
CUAAAUGACUCUCGGCAACGGAUAUCUCGGCUCUUGCAUCGAUGAAGAACGUAGCGAAAUGCGAUACUUGGUGUGAAUUGCAGAAUCCCGUGAACCAUCGAGUCUUUGAACGCAAGUUGCGCCUGAAGCCAUCAGGUUGAAGGCACGUCUGCCUGGGCGUCACACAU